rnacentral:rRNA from 1 species
GGAGUUUGGACCGUGUCUCAGUUCCAAUGUGGGGGACCUUCCUCUCAGAACCCCUAGACAUCGUCGCCUUGGUGGGCCGUUACCCCGCCAACUAGCUAAUGUCUCGCGAGCCUAUCCGUAUCCGCCUCAGCUUUCAAACAAAGGUCAUGCAGCCUCUGUUGUUAUGGGGUAUUAGACAUCGUUUCCAAUGCUUAUCCCCCUGAUACGGGCAAGUUGCUCACGCGUUACGCACCCUUCCGCCGGUCGCCGCCAGGUAUUGCUACCCGCGCUGCCCCUCGACUUGCAUGUGUUAAGCCUGCCACUAGCGUUCAUC